rnacentral:misc_RNA from 1 species
GUUUGUCACAUCCACAAUAUCAUCGAUGUGGUUACACAUGGCGACAAACAAAUCAAAGAACAAUUUCCCACCCAUCUCCAUUUCCAUCUGCAUCGUGCCACUGCGCUUGAAUGUCUUCCGGCUGCGGAUAAUCAGCGCUAGGUAAUGAGCGCGCAACCGCGAGUCACUGUCGGGCGUGUUCUCGUAGGCGUACCGCGCAGAGCGCAGAAUCACGCCGACCUCGAUCCCGCUCUGCAGGCCCUGUUUCUUCAGGGAGAGCCGCUUUAGCUCUUCGAGGCCAUAGCGAUCUGCGGCACAAUACACGGCCGUGUCACGGAGAAUAACGUCACCCACGCCCGAGUGGAAGAUUGUCG